GCACUGCUGAAGAGUCCCACAACAGGACGAAACGGCCGUCCAAUGC
rnacentral:hammerhead_ribozyme from 1 species